CAUAAAUGUGCAUAGUAAGGUCUUGCGAGUCUGCCAUAUGACAGGAGAGAAAAAUGUCAGAAAAUAUAAAAGACUCUGCUUUGAGUGCAUGUGUGGCCAAUGGAAUCCCUUUUAAAAAUGAUCAAUCAGGCUGUGACUUGCUUUGCUCUGGAAGCCCCUUGAAGAGACAAGCUUACAACAAAGUAAUCCUCAAAAACACGAAACAAUAGGAAUGAAAACGCUCUGAAUUUUGGACCAUUCUACACUGGAGUAUCAGGAGAAAACCAAAAAUAAAAAGGUGCAUGAACAGAAAUCCAGACAACUCUAUCAUAAAUAUA